rnacentral:rRNA from 2 species
UUAGCGGCGGACGGGUGAGUAACACGUGGAUAACCUACCUAUAAGACUGGGAUAACUUCGGGAAACCGGAGCUAAUACCGGAUAAUAUUUUGAACCGCAUGGUUCAAAAGUGAAAGACGGUCUUGCUGUCACUUAUAGAUGGAUCCGCGCUGCAUUAGCUAGUUGGUAAGGUAACGGCUUACCAAGGCAACGAUGCAUAGCCGACCUGAGAGGGUGAUCGGCCACACUGGAACUGAGACACGGUCCAGACUCCUACGGGAGGCAGCAGUAGGGAAUCUUCCGCAAUGGGCGAAAGCCUGACGGAGCAACGCCGCGUGAGUGAUGAAGGUCUUCGGAUCGUAAAACUCUGUUAUUAGGGAAGAACAUAUGUGUAAGUAACUGUGCACAUCUUGACGGUACCUAAUCAGAAAGCCACGGCUAACUACGUGCCAGCAGCCGCGGUAAUACGUAGGUGGCAAGCGUUAUCCGGAAUUAUUGGGCGUAAAGCGCGCGUAGGCGGUUUUUUAAGUCUGAUGUGAAAGCCCACGGCUCAACCGUGGAGGGUCAUUGGAAACUGGAAAACUUGAGUGCAGAAGAGGAAAGUGGAAUUCCAUGUGUAGCGGUGAAAUGCGCAGAGAUAUGGAGGAACACCAGUGGCGAAGGCGACUUUCUGGUCUGUAACUGACGCUGAUGUGCGAAAGCGUGGGGAUCAAACAGGAUUAGAUACCCUGGUAGUCCACGCCGUAAACGAUGAGUGCUAAGUGUUAGGGGGUUUCCGCCCCUUAGUGCUGCAGCUAACGCAUUAAGCACUCCGCCUGGGGAGUACGACCGCAAGGUUGAAACUCAAAGGAAUUGACGGGGACCCGCACAAGCGGUGGAGCAUGUGGUUUAAUUCGAAGCAACGCGAAGAACCUUACCAAAUCUUGACAUCCU